GUAUUAAAGUAUAUAUACUUUCUCUAUUUCGCUGCUCUAAUUUCCAAUUGUUGUGUGCCAAGUUUGAAGACUAUUGAACAAAUAUACAGUAAAGCUUAGGUCCCCCAAAGGCCAAACCGAUGAGAUUUGUAACAAAGCCCACUCUUACCACGAGAGAAAGAAAGCAGAACCUUGGUUCGCACUGCACAAUGUGCAACUGCAGUUAUUCUAUUCUUUUCCAAUGUUCAAGUAACCCUCAUAUGCGCUCUUAGCGUAAGUUAUGCAGUCUUGGUUUUGCAUGCUUCGUUCAGAAAACAAUCUACGCGAAGUGACAGAAACAGGAGGAGCAGUAAAAGAUGAGGAGAAACAAUGAAGUGUUGAAGAUUACUGUCAGUACAUUGUAGCUGGCCAGACUGCCCAGACCAUAUCUGCUUGCUGAACCUAUUAGCUAUAUGUCCUGCAGAUACUAGUGUCCAAUUUUAUCAAAUCACAAACUAGGUUCGAUUCAUCUGUUCUUUUCUACCUCUCUCUUCUCACGGGU